rnacentral:rRNA from 1 species
GAUGAACGCUGGCGGCGUGCCUAAUACAUGCAAGUCGAGCGAACAGACGAGGAGCUUGCUCCUCUGACGUUAGCGGCGGACGGGUGAGUAACACGUGGAUAACCUACCUAUAAGACUGGGAUAACUUCGGGAAACCGGAGAUAAUACCGGAUAAUAUAUUGAACCGCAUGGUUCAAUAGUGAAAGACGGUUUUGCUGUCACUUAUAGAUGGAUCCGCGCCGCAUUAGCUAGUUGGUAAGGUAACGGCUUACCAAGGCAACGAUGCGUAGCCGACCGGAGCGGGUGAUCGGCCACACGGGAGCUGAGACCGGGUCAAGGCUACUACGGGAGGGAGCAGCAGGGAAUGUUCGGCAAUGGUCGGAAACCUGACAGAGUAAUCCCACGUGAGAUAAGAAAGUCUUCGGUUCGUAAAACCGUGUUAUGGGUUAUGAACAACUGUGUAAUGAGAUCCGCCCGGCUUGACGGUACCUAAUCAAAAAGCACCGGCUAACUACGUG